UUCGAUGGAAGAUAAUUCCAAUAAGUUCUUUCUUGAUGUUACCACACAGGUGGAUACUUAUUAUGCUCAAAAUGCAAAGUUUUCAAAUGUGUUACCUUCCCAAAUGAUGAAGAUGGUGAGGUUCUCAGUUUUUGAACUUGUUACUUCAUCUCAUUUGUUGUUUAGAAUAUUCAUCUUGACUAAUUAUCAUACAUUUAAUUUUUACUGACUUGUAAGUUUCAUCACCACGCAUGAAUAUGUAAUGUUUUCUCUAAUUGUUGUAAUCAAUGACCAGAAAAGAAGAGAAAUAAAACAGUUCAGAACUGCAAUUCUUUGAGAUUUCAGGC
rnacentral:lncRNA from 1 species